rnacentral:rRNA from 1 species
AUUGAACGCUGGCGGCAGGCUUAACACAUGCAAGUCGAGCGAGAGGCGGACGGGUGAGUAAUGUCUGGGAAACUGCCUGAUGGAGGGGGAUAACUACUGGAAACGGUAGCUAAUACCGCAUACCAUCAGAUGUGCCCCGAUGGGAUUAGCUAGUAGGUGGGGUAAUGGCUCACCUAGGCGCCGAUCCCUAGCUGGUCUGAGAGGAUGACCAGCCACACUGGAACUGAGCCACGGUCCAGAUGCCUACGUUGGGCAGCGUUGGGGAAGAUUGCACAAUGGGCGCAAGCCUGAUGCAGCCAGGCGGCGUGGGUGAAGAGGGCCUUCGGGUUGUAAAGCACUUUCAGCGAGGAGGCGUUACUCGCAGAAGAAGCACCGGCUAACUCCGUGCCAGCAGCCGCGGUAAUAC